rnacentral:tRNA from 1 species
CACUAUGAAGCUAAAUACCAGCGUCAGCCUUUUAAGCUGAAGAUUGGUGCUCACACCCACCCUUAGUGA